rnacentral:piRNA from 1 species
UCGCUGCGAUCUAUUGAAAGUC